UUUCUACUCCCUCCGUCCGAAAAAGCUUGUCCCUCAAAUGGAUGUAUCUAGCACUUGUUUAUUUUCAGGGACAAGCUUUUUCGGACGGAGGGAGUAUGAC
rfam:Triticum aestivum genome assembly, contig: Triticum_aestivum_CS42_TGACv1_scaffold_328099_4BS